rnacentral:rRNA from 1 species
AGCGAACGCUGGCGGCGUGCCUAACACAUGCAAGUCGAACGUGAAAAGGGGCAACCCUGAGUAAAGUGGCGUACGGGUGAGUAACGCGUAGGUAAUCUACCCCAGAGUCUGGAAUAACCGGCCGAAAGGCUGGCUAAUACUGGAUAGAGCGACGGAAUCCGUAAUUGGGUUUUUCGGGAAAGGGAGGAGCAAUCCCCUUCGCUUUGGGAUGAGCCUGCGUCUCAUUAGCUAGUUGGCGGGGUAAUGGCCCACCAAGGCUUUGAUGGGUAGCUGGUCUGAGAGGAUGAUCAGCCACACUGGAACUGAAACACGGUCCAGACUCCUACGGGAGGCAGCAGUGGGAAUCUUGCGCAAUGGACGAAAGUCUGACGCAGCCACGCCGCGUGAGUGAAGAAGGCCUGG